rnacentral:rRNA from 1 species
CGUCAGAUUGAACGCUGGCGGCAGGCCUAACACAUGCAAGUCGAACGGUAGCACAGAGAGCUUGCUCUCGGGUGACGAGUGGCGGACGGGUGAGUAAUGUCUGGGAAACUGCCCGAUGGAGGGGGAUAACUACUGGAAACGGUAGCUAAUACCGCAUAACGUCUUCGGACCAAAGUGGGGGACCUUCGGGCCUCACACCAUCGGAUGUGCCCAGAUGGGAUUAGCUAGUAGGUGGGGUAAUGGCUCACCUAGGCGACGAUCCCUAGCUGGUCUGAGAGGAUGACCAGCCACACUGGAACUGAGACACGGUCC